AACGAACGCUGGCGGCAUGCCUAAUACAUGCAAGUCGAACGAGAUCUUCGGAUCUAGUGGCGCACGGGUGCGUAACGCGUGGGAAUCUGCCCUUGGGUUCGGAAUAACAUCUGGAAACGGAUGCUAAUACCGGAUGAUGACGUAAGUCCAAAGAUUUAUCGCCCAAGGAUGAGCCCGCGUAGGAUUAGCUAGUUGGUGAGGUAAAGGCUCACCAAGGCUACGAUCCUUAGCUGGUCUGAGAGGAUGAUCAGCCACACUGGGACUGAGACACGGCCCAGACUCCUACGGGAGGCAGCAGUAGGGAAUAUUGGACAAUGGGGGCAACCCUGAUCCAGCAAUGCCGCGUGAGUGAUGAGGGCCUUAGGGUUGUAAAGCUCUUUUACCCGAGAUGAUAAUGACAGUAUCGGGAGAAUAAGCUCCGGCUAACUCCGUGCCAGCAGCCGCGGUAAUACGGAGGGAGCUAGCGUUGUUCGGAAUUACUGGGCGUAAAGCGCACGUAGGCGGUUAUUUAAGUCAGAGGUGAAAGCCCGGGGCUCAACCCCGGAACUGCCUUUGAGACUGGAUAACUUGAAUCCAGGAGAGGUGAGUGGAAUUCCGAGUGUAGAGGUGAAAUUCGUAGAUAUUCGGAAGAACACCAGUGGCGAAGGCGGCUCACUGGACUGGUAUUGACGCUGAGGUGCGAAAG
rnacentral:rRNA from 1 species